rnacentral:rRNA from 1 species
UACGGGGGGAGCAAGCGUUGUUCGGAUUUACUGGGCGUAAAGGGCGCGUAGGCGGUCAGCACAAGUCAGUUGUGAAAUCUCCGGGCUUAACUCGGAAAGGUCAACUGAUACUGUGCGACUAGAGUGCAGAAGGGGCAACUGGAAUUCUCGGAGUAGCGGUGAAAUGCGUAGAUAUCGAGAGGAACACCUGCGGCGAAGGCGGGUUGCUGGGCUGACACUGACGCUGAUGCGCGAAAGCCAAGGGAGCGAACGGG